rnacentral:rRNA from 1 species
AGGGAAUAUUGCAAAAUGGGCGAAAGCCCGAUGCAGCAACGCCGCGUGGGCGAUGAAGGCCUUCGGGUCGUAAAGCCCUUUUUGAGGGGAUGAGGAAGGACAGUACCCUCAGAAUAAGCCUCGGCUAACUACGUGCCAGCAGCCGCGGUAAAACGUAGGAGGCGAGCGUUAUCCGGAUUUACUGGGCGUAAAGCGCGUGCAGGCGGAUUGGAGAGUUGGAUGUGAAAGCUCCCGGCUUAACUGGGAGAGGUCGUUCAAUACUUCCAGUCUUGAGUGCAGUAGAGGGAAGUGGAAUUCCGGGUGUAGUGGUGAAAUGCGUAGAUAGCCGGAGGAACACCAGUGGCGAAAGCGGCUUCCUGGACUGUAACUGACGCUCAGACGCGAAAGCUAGGGUAGCAAACG